rnacentral:rRNA from 1 species
GAUGAACGCUAGCGGCAGGCUUAACACAUGCAAGUCGAGGGGCAGCACGGGUAGCAAUACCUGGUGGCGACCGGCGCAAGGGUGCGUAACGCGUGAGCAACAUGCCCUAUACAGGGGGAUAAUCCAGGGAAACUUGGUCUAAUAUCCCAUAGCAUUUAGAGGAGGCAUCUUCACUAAAUUAAAGCUUCGGUGGUAUAGGAUUGGCUCGCGUGACAUUAGCUAGAUGGUGAGGUAACGGCCCACCAUGGCUAUGAUGUCUAGGGGUUCUGAGAGGAAGACCCCCCACACUGGGACUGAGACACGGCCCAGACUCCUACGGGAGGCAGCAGUGAGGAAUAUUGGACAAUGGAUGGAAAUCUGAUCCAGCCAUGCCGCGUGCAGGAAGACGGCCCUAUGGGUUGUAAACUGCUUUUCCCCGGGGCGAACUAACCCCCUCGCGAGGGGGGAUGGCCGGUACCGGGGAAUAAGGAUCGGCUAACUCCGUGCCAGCAGCCGCGGUAA